UACGUAGGGGGCAAGCGUUGUCCGGAUUUAUUGGGCGUAAAGAGCGUGUAGGCGGUUUGUCGCGUCUGCUGUGAAAUCUCAAGGCUCAACCUUGAGCUUGCAGUGGGUACGGGCAGACUAGAGUGUGGUAGGGGAGACUGGAAUUCCUGGUGUAGCGGUGAAAUGCGCAGAUAUCAGGAGGAACACCGAUGGCGAAGGCAGGUCUCUGGGCCACUACUGACGCUGAGAAGCGAAAGCAUGGGGAGCGAACAGG
rnacentral:rRNA from 1 species